UGAUUUUUGAUCCAUCUACUGCAACAAAAAGCGUUUUCGAGGUAAGCACUUUUUUGUAGAUCAUUUGAGUAAUGGCAGCCUUAAUUCUCAACAUAAACCUUCUGGAAACAUGAACGUAAAGUUCCUUUACAACAGAUGCCAAAUAAGGACCGAUCAGGAGUACAAAAACCCAUAAAAAAGGGCUGUUUCCUUCAUCACUCUUCGGGUUUUGUAAAUAUUGCAAAAGUUUUUUAAUAGCAAGAGGAGUGACAAAUAAUGUUGAACUGACGAGAACGGACAAAAAAACCAUCAAUAGAAUUGUUGAUUUAAGGGAUAAAAGGAUUGUAUGCAUAAGUGAUUUUCUAUCAUUCUUGGCGAACCGGCUGUACCAAAUCUGGGUACACUCGGUGUCAGGAAGAGCAGGAACAUCAGUGAGGGUAAUAGGUUUUUUCCACGAUUUCCAUAUAAUACCGUUUAACCAUCCGUAAGUAAAAAUCAAAGAAAAUAUACUACAUGUUUGUUCAGGAGACGGGCGAGCAACCUUGGAAAACUUAACGGUCGGGCUCCACGCUCUUGGAAAAAAGAGAGGAAUUAUGACAAGCAAAAAUAAAGUAAUGUUAUAAGCUAAAGGAAGCAGGAGAAGAAAGGAUCCG